AUAUUGCAGUUACUACCACUCUCUUCUUUAUGGACCAGAAGGUGGGAUAUGUUAGUAAAUAGAUUCAAGAUGACCAAAGCAUGAAAAGAGACAAAGAAGGUAGUGUGAGAUCUGGAAAAGAGUGGAUACAGAAAGAAGACAGCAUGGAGGUUUCAAGACCAGUGCUCCAAGUACUCUUUGCUCUCUUAUGAUGUCCUGAGUUUUUCCUAAACAUAAUCUCUAAACGGCAUUUAAAGAUGAUGAUGAUCUUGGUAUCCAAGUAAAUUGCUGAAAAUCCCUGGCAGUGAUUUAUUCCUCCGAUGAAGAUCUGAGUUACUCCUAGGCAGCUGUGGUGCGUUUUUUGUUCAGACCAUCAAUCUCUAAAUUACUUUUGCCCCUAUGCUUCAUUUUGAGACGACACAUUACAUAUCAACUUUUUGAGCCAGACUGUGCUAUUUCAUGGCUCUCCAGGCCUUCCAGGCUUUCUUGGAUGAGCGACUGGCAGCUCCCAGCCCUUUCACGACCUCUCACAACCAGGCUGCCAUCGGGUUGUUCCCAGCAGAAGUCAAGGACAAUGGUUGAUUAUAAUCUCAUUUCUACUGGUUGAACUCUUUCAUCAAAAGGUCUCAGUGGCAAGAAUGAGAGGCUUGCUGCAGGGUCUGGAAGGUAUGCGUCCGAGCUGCGUAAGGUUAGAACUGUCAAGGGCUAGAAUGUCUGUCACUGGCAGGAGUGGAUGAAGCACUGCAGCAGUCUGCACAGAUCUGCCCACAACAGUGGCUGCACGUACUUCAAAAGAUCACUGUCCUGAAAGGACGGAAGAGAGCCAAAAUAAAUAAAACUAUGAUUUUGUAUUUCAUCAGUGAUGCAAUCUUUGUAUUUUGUAAUUAUGGAUGUACCAAAUUAAUGUUGAGAUUGCAGAGGUGGGAGCAAAUCCUGAAGUCUUGUUCUGGAUCUGAGUCAAGAAUUGAAUGUCCCUGGGGUUCAGAGUGGGAGAUAAGUUGGAAUCCAGCAUUCUCCAAGUGCACAUCAAGUUGGAGCAGUAAACUGCCUUUCUCCCUGCUUCGUGUACUCGCCUACAUAGUGCAGCUGAUCCUCAGCUGUGUGCAAGGCACAGAUCCUCCCCACUCAGGGCAAAAGCAUCUGCUUUCUUCUUCUGUCAGAGCAUUGAAGCACUGGUUCCUGUUGCUGGAUAUCACAGAAAGAGACAAGUGGACUGUAUGACUUGUGUGGACAAGGGUGAUCUUGAAAGUGAAGAACAUGCUCUGCAAAGGUUUGCUGAGAUAUUUUAUCCUUUCUGAUGAGUUUCAAUAUUUGUUUAGGCCUCUCAUUAUCAGUACUGGACAGGCAAAGUAUCACUGAGAAAGGACAAUACUGUCUUGCUCCUUUGAGAGGAGCAGGCACAGUUGAAGAGGAGGAUGCGCAGGCAUGGGGUAAGGCAGCAUUAUAGCAGCCCUGCAUUCUCCUAAUUUUAAACGAUAAGAUUUCCACUCUAUUGCAAUGUUCUUGAUGCUCCCAUCCUGAAGAGGGGGAGGACAGGAGCCAUUCAGUUGUCAUCUGCAUGUGUCCACAAAUCAUGCAAGCCAUCAAGUUUUCUUUAACUCAAUUUGAAGAGUAGGGAUGGUAUCCAGUGUUCCUGAGCUUUAGAGACACGCUCAAACUCUCUCGGGACUGUGGGGUAAUUGCCAUGUGUACAAAGAUGAGAUAGCAAGCUAUGAGAGGUGUGGUGUUCCUGCUGCUGCUUUGAGUUUGUGGAGAGCCAACAUACAGCUCUUAAUCCAUGUACUUGGAAAGAUGUUUAUCAGCAAAAGUACUUCUUGCUUCUGUCUUUUCAUCCUACUUCACUUAGUUUUGGGUGCUGAGAGGCACAGGCUUAUAAUGCCUUAAAAAUUUUUAACUGGGACUGGUGGCUGAGAAGCAGUGUGACCAAAUGACGGCAGUGCAGCUAGAGACUUGCGGCAUCCUUCAGACUUGCUCCCCUGAGGAAAGAGAACUCCCAUUCAUUUUAAUGCAUCUACUUCCUCAGGUAAAGCUGCCUUGUAAAAUUAAUGGCGGGUGGUCAGCAUCUUUCCAUUGACCUGUAUGGCCAACAGAAAGAGGCACAUAAUGCUCUAGGGGCUUCUCUUAUAAAUAAAUAAAUGAAAUCUUAUAGGACUGAGUAGUCC
rnacentral:lncRNA from 1 species